CAAAGCUGUUGGACUCACCUGCUCAGAGCAUGUCAGGUUGGUGGGAGGAGCCAGUCGCUGUGCAGGUACACUGGAGGUGAAAAAGGGAGAAUGGAGACCAGUGAGUUACCAUGACUGGACCCUGAAGGCAGCAGCUGCAGUUUGCAGAGAUCUGGACUGUGGCUCUGCUGUUUCAACAAGCAUAAAUGAGACCUCACAGAGACCUAUUUGGUGGAUCAGCUCUGACUGUUUUCAUUCUGGAUCUUCUGCACUGAGUGACUGUGCAUUAUCAGAUUUCUCCUCCGACAUUUUGGAGCUUACCUGCUCAGGUAAGUCUAUCAGUGACAUCAUCUAUGACUAAUAUUUUUCUUUCCUCUGUCACAGUGAUAAUCGUGGUUUCCUUUGGACUGAACUGUUAACGUAUCCAGGAUGAUGGCAUCCUAAAUGGUAAAGAAGUUAGCUUGUUCCUGGAGGCUCAUUGCUUCAGACUGAGAAAACCUGCACUUUUAAACAACCUGCUGUGGUUCACCGACACAACCUGCAGCUCUCCUGAGCAGCUCAGUCACAUCCACCUUACAAGCAACAACUACAUUACAAAUGAAAACUUGUGUGGAUGUCAGAGAGGCUGCUGUUUGUUGUCCGCCUGUUCUACAGAGGUGGAAUCAUCCACAUCUCCAUCUUCCUCAUGGUUAACUUGCCAUCAAACAGUUGAAAUCCCAGACUGUACAACUCCUUGAAGCAGACUUCAUUCUUCUGGCCAGCAACAGGAUGUAAUUCAAGUACAACAGGAGAAAAAGUUGCUUUAUGAACUUCCUUUUGGUGCAAAGGCGCAAACAACAGUAAGAGCUGUUCUUCCUGUGACACGUAGUCACAAUGAGGUGACCCUCUUGCUCUGUGGGGAGAACUCCAACACAGCAGCACUCAGCAGGGGGCUCAUGAGUAUCCCCACUGUUGUGUUUGAGGAUGGUUGGUAGAGUGAGUGGGAAGGAUGAACUAGCAAGCAGGCAUCAAAUUUUCAUAAUAAAAAAACUGGCCACAAAAAGGAGAAUUUUAAUUGGUUCAUCACCUGCAGAUAUUUAGUGGAAAAAACCUUCACAGUCCACAAAAUACUGUCCCUUCUCCAUUUUCCUGGAUAGGGAAAAACAGACCAACUCGUUUGCUGUCUUCCAAAACCUUUUAAACCCUUUCACCUGUCGUAUGUGGCCAAUCAGGGAGGGUCUUUGGAAUUAGUGUCACUUUGACCUAGGUGGUAUUAAUCUCCCCUCAUAUGGAGCUAAACGGUAUUCAAUUGUAUUUUGACAAAAAUAUUAAUCAAGUUUACCGUCUGAAGAGGCAUAAUCAAAAAUACAUGUUGUUUAUGACUGGCUAACGUUACAGCAGGACAAAAUACCCACAAAGACAUUUUAAAGGGGAAGUGCAAUCCUUCUUAAAGGGUCAAGCAGGUCAGGGAAAUCCCCCUACAGAAAGUCUGUGUGAGCAAAAAGACUAAACACAAGUGAACAAGCAUUUCUCAAACAUCACAAGUUCAUGGCUCAUAUAAAUAUUGAUCAGAUGAGUGAGAAGACUGUGCACCUUCCUCUCAGCAUACAUAAGAACACUGGCUCAAUUACAUAUUUGUAAUGGAGAAAGUAGGCGCCAUGACAUUUCUCACCCUCUUUCCAUUUGGCUGACACAUCUCAGGUAACCUUGACAAAUAGUCUGCAUAAGGUUUUUCUUGCCUGAACAAUGCUCAGUGUUGUACUGGUAUAGCUGGAAGGCUAGACACCACCACAGGAUCCAGGCAUUCUGAUGUUGCAUUGAGUGCAUUCAUUUCAGGGCUCGGUGGUGAGUCUGCAGCUGGAAUUCCCUUCCCAGGAGGUAGUAGCACAAGGACUCAAUUGCCCGCUUAAUAGUCAGACUCUCUUUUUCAGCAGUAGAAUACUUCUUCUCCUGGUCAAACAGCUCUCUACUCGGGUACAAGAUGGGCUUCUCCGGGCCUGGUUCUCCUUGUGCCAGGGCAGCCACUAGUCCAACACCUAAUGCAUCCACUCACCUUAAAAGUCUGAUCACAAUCCCCUGACCUUUGCAGUCUGGAUGUACUGGAGUUUUUUGUGAGGUUUCUGGAUCAUCUCCAUGGUCUUCACCUUCUCCACCUGUACAACUGGGCUCUCAAGACUCUGUCAGGCUGGUGAAUGGGACUAGUCUGUGUUCAGG